ACCCCUACGGGAGGCAGCAGUAGGGAAUCUUCCACAAUGGACGAAAGUCUGAUGGAGCAACGCCGCGUGAGUGAAGAAGGGUUUCGGCUCGUAAAGCUCUGUUGGUAGUGAAGAAAGAUAGAGGUAGUAACUGGCUUUUAUUUUACGGUAAUUACUUAGAAAGUCACGGGUAACUACGUGCCAGCAGCCGCGGUAAUACGUAGGUGGCAAGCGUUGUCCGGGCUUAUUGGGCGUAAAGCGAGUGCAGGCG
rnacentral:rRNA from 1 species